rnacentral:rRNA from 1 species
CGAAGGAUGCAAGCGUUAUCCGGAUUCAUUGGGUUUAAAGGGAGCGUAGGUGGUCUUAUAAGUCAGUGGUGAAAUCUCUGGGCUUAACCCAGAAAUUGCCAUUGAUACUGUAGGACUUGAGUAUAGUUGCCGUUGGCGGAAUAUGACAUGUAGUGGUGAAAUACAUAGAGAUGUCAUAGAACACCGAUUGCGAAGGCAGCUAACGAAACUAUAACUGACACUGAGGCUCGAAAGUGAGGGGAUCAAACAGGAUUAGAUACCCUGGUAGCCCACACUGUAAACGAUGAUUACUCGCUGCUAGAGGGUAACUUUUAGUGGCUUAGCGAAAGCGAUAAGUAAUCCACCUGGGGAGUACGCCGGCAACGGUG